GAUGAACGCUAGCUACAGGCUUAACACAUGCAAGUCGAGGGGAAACGACAUCGAAAGCUUGCUUUUGAUGGGCGUCGACCGGCGCACGGGUGAGUAACGCGUAUCCAACCUGCCCACCACUUGGGGAUAACCUUGCGAAAGUAAGACUAAUACCCAAUGAUAUCUCUAGAAGACAUCUGAAAGAGAUUAAUGAAUUAUCGGUGAUGGAUGGGGAUGCGUCUGAUUAGCUUGUUGGCGGGGUAACGGCCCACCAAGGCUACGAUCAGUAGGGGUUCUGAGAGGAAGGUCCCCCACAUUGGAACUGAGACACGGUCCAAACUCCUACGGGAGGCAGCAGUGAGGAAUAUUGGUCAAUGGACGAGAGUCUGAACCAGCCAAGUAGCGUGCAGGAUGACGGCCCUAUGGGUUGUAAACUGCUUUUAUAAGGGAAUAAAGUGAGUCUCGUGAGACUUUUUGCAUGUACCUUAUGAAUAAGGACCGGCUGAUUCCGUGCCAGCCGCCGCCGUAA
rnacentral:rRNA from 1 species